UCAAUUUGACUGCAGCUAAUGCAGCUUCUAACAGAAAUACAAUUCCAGGCUUGAGGCUCUGAAGCUGGACUCUUAACCGUCCCAGAGAAGAACAUGGUCCUGAGAGUCUAGACCAGAACCUGGGUGCCUGUCCUGGACUCACAUCAUAGUCACUCUCCAUCCCUGGGCCUCAGACAUCCUGGCUGUCAAAUCAGCGGUUGCACGGGCUUCCCUCCAGCCCUGGUGGUGGACUUCUGGGACAGCAGCUCCUGGUGACAACAGAGAAUCAGAGUACACAGGGGAAACUGAGGCCCAGGAGUUUAAAUGACUUGCCCAAGAUCCUGUAGCUUCGAACUGCUAAAGCUGGGAUUUGAACCAAGCUCCGUCUCCAUCUCUGAAACCUGCCCUGUCAAUCAUGACCCUUCUUCCUCAACUGUCCAGCC